UUUUCAGCUUGGUUCCCAAGGCAAAAUCACACCGGAAGUAAAGAUACCCAGUUUUGAGUUAUGGCGGCCAUUGUCUGACGUCACUGUGAAAAGGGUCUAUUAAUCUGUGAUUGGAUGAGCUGAAAUGCCCAUCCAAUCAUGUUUCAUUUUACUGACGUCUCGAAUUGCUCAUUACAUAAUCUCGCGCAAGUUUACUAGAAAAUAAAUCGUACCUGAGGCUGCAGCUUUUUUGUGGUAGCAGAACUAAAAAGAAAAUAUGUAUGUUUUAAUUAGGUGGGUUAAAGAAAAUAAGAUCAGUGUGGGCAGUGACACAUUUGUGAAAAACAAAAAAAUGCUUUUUGACCCGAAGAGGAUCGGCUGGGUGGAACAUGGGGUCAUUGGGAAGAAACCACCGAAGGAUGGUUGGAAAGCCUUGCUCAGAUUCUCAAAGUAAAUGGUAAGAACAUAUUUUUAGUAAUGUGUCCUUUUUCUCACUAAACACAAAUGAAUGAAAUAUAUAACUUUUUUUGAUUCUUAUUCAAUACUUGUACUGUUCUUUUGCUUUUAUGUAUACAUAUAACAGAAAGUCUCCAGGUCAUUCGGGACGCUGAGAAACGCUGGGUAGAAAACAAAAAGAUCCGUCCACAAAAUUCAAAGGUGUGUGUGUGUGUGUUUUAUGUUCGAAGAUCAUUGUUAACAGACUGACUGGUUAGUUCCCUCAGCUCUUAGUAGAGACGACUUAACGCUAGCUUAGCUGAAACAGGUGCUCGCGCUGCUGUUGAGCGACCGUUAACUCAGCAACAGCGCGAGCUCGGUUUUUUUUCUCUAAAGGGAGCGGGGGUCGGGGGAGGGGGGGAGCCCCACCCAUCCUUACUCUUCGAUCGAAGUUGAAAUCUGCCUGACUUCACAAAUUAAAUAAACCAAGCACAGCGCACUUCUGAGCUGCUUGUGUGUUUGCGUGUGUGUGUCAACGGUUCACUUGCGGGAUUGGUUCACUCAGUUCACUAAGAAAAACAUUUUGGUUCGGUGGAAAUUAUUAUUAAUAUUUUUAAAUUACAUUUAAAGGUAAACCUUACGUUUUUUCUGUUUUCUAAUCUCUAAUCAGGCUAAUCAGCCUCAGGCCUCCAAUAAUUCAGAAGACGACGACGACGCAGAGACAACCUGUGAUCCUUCGGAUCAUGUAAGAUGCAGGCAACACACAUACAUACUUUUUUGUAUAUGCCAUAUAUAUUAUACAUAGUUCAUACACAUAUACAAAUAAGGAGCUUUAUAUAUAUAAAUUUUUCCCCUUGUUUAAUGGUUGAGUCAUACUAAUAGUUUUUGUUCACAACAUCAGACAGACGACAAAUCUCAGAUUACAGAGUUGGAGGAUCACAACAAAAAGUUAGAGGAAUAAUUGGAAAGAAGGAUAAGGAAAUAAAGAGACUUCGAAGGGCAAAUUUGCUACUACAAGACGGUAAGUUCACAAAUCUCUUACAAAAUGGUUGCCAAAUAACUUCUUAUGUCUGAUGUCUUAUAUUGUGAUUCAGGACUGUCAGACACAAUAUAUAAAAGUGUCAAGGAAGCAGUCAAGGCUGUCCAGCAGUCAUCCAGUUCUUCCAACCAAUUACAGUCUAAAGAAGGAGAGGUAUGUCUAUGAGCUGGUGUUAGAAGUCAUGUGAAUAGUUUCAGAUAAAAGACAUGAUAUAUUUUGGAGUUUAUAUAAAAUUAUUUUUUUAUAUUUACAGAGUGUGUCUUUGAAAAAUCAUACAGCAAACUGUGUGGGACUUGACUACACUCAGCGGUACAGCGGUUUCAAAAAAAUGACUAGAAACGUGGUGGACUCCCUCUUCACUCUUGAAGAAAUAUCAACAUGUUCAGUGACUGGAAAGAAAGGAAUUCUUGGAAAUAGAAAGAGAAGCCUUGACCAGUGUAACAAGUGUGUAAAACUGUUUAUAUUUCACCUCAAAUCCAUCCUCAUUACCUGUGUAUAUUUGUUUUUCUUAGUUUUUGAAUUGUAUUUUAUUUUGGCGGAGAAGCUUUUAUUUUCUUGUUUCCUGUCUCCGUGUCAUAUCCUGUGUGUUCGCGCUGCCCUCCUCAGUUCGCGCCAAGCUGCGCUGGGGAGAGGUAAGCGUACAAAGUUGUCUUGUGUUUGUCUGUUGAAGUAUUCAAAAUGUCCUUAAAAGUAUUUUUGCCAAACUCGCAAGUUUUUAUAUGUUGUUUCCCAACUGUUUUAUGUUUAGCGCAGCACUGUACUGGGCACUUAAUUCCCACGUUAAGGACAUUUAUUGAGUUUACCGUGCCAAUGUGGUUAUUUUUGUUCUUUUGAUUUGUUAAGGUGUGUGUGGGAAAGCCAGAGCCCAAGAACUGGAGUGCUGAUGCAUUUUUUGUUUUAAACAGAGAAUUUUGGUUGGUUUUACCACAGUCCUGAGUUCGCGCCAAGCUGCGCUGGGGAGAGGUGUGUGUGGGAAAGCCAGAGCCCAAGAACUGGAGUGCUGAUGCAUUUUUUGUUUUAAACAGAAUAAAUCUGCCCUACUGCUGCAAUACA